CCCUCCUUAGCGUCCCAGAGGGCUUGUCUGCUACAGGGGCUCCCAGCGGCCUCCCGCACCGAAGGGACCCUGGGCGUCUGAGGCCCUGAUCCGGGCGGGCCUUCAGGAUGUUAGCAGUCCCUGUCCGGUUGAAGGCCUGCGGGGCGGGGGCGGGGUGGCGCCCAGGACGACUCCCCGGGCUCAGCUUGGCUGCCUGCCUCCUUCUCAAACAAUGAGUACCUACUGUGUGCAGAAGCAGCAGGACAGCCUGUCAUCACUGGGAAAGAGGCCAGAAGAGCCAUUUGGCCAGGGUCUCCAAUUUAGGCUUUCAACAUUAUCUCUAAAGAAGGUUAUACAUUAUGUCGGCUCCACUGGCUGAUGGGAUCAAAGACCCUCCUUGUAUAUCCUUAAACCUGUACUCUAUUACCAGGCCACUGUGCCUGUGGAGCACUGUAAGUUCCUACCUUUUAAUAAAUUUUAUAAUUAUCUUGUGAGCA